rnacentral:tRNA from 1 species
AAGUUUUAGUAUAAGUGAGUAUAGGUUAUUGUCAAUAAUCGGGUUAAAACUUU